rnacentral:tRNA from 1 species
CCGUUAGUGGUUCAGUGGUAAAAUUCUCACCUUCCAUGUGAGAGACCUUGGUUCGAUUCCCAGCCAAUGCA